ensembl:ncRNA
UGUAUUUACGUUGCAUAUGAAAUGAUA